rnacentral:rRNA from 1 species
UACGUAGGGGGCAAGCGUUGUCCGGAAUUACUGGGCGUAAAGGGCGCGUAGGCGGCCCUUCAAGUCGGGCGUGAAAGCUCCGGGCUUAACCCGGAAAUUGCGUUCGAUACUGUCGGGCUAGAGUGUGGAAGGGGCUACCGGAAUUCCGUGUGUAGCGGUGAAAUGCGUAGAUAUACGGAGGAACACCAGCGGCGAAGGCGGGUAGCUGGGCCAACACUGACGCCGAGGCGCGAAAGCGUGGGGAGCAAACAGG